GACGAACGCUGGCGGCGUGCUUAACACAUGCAAGUCGAACGGUGAAGGGGUCUGCUUUUGUGGGCCCUGGAUGAGUGGCGAACGGGUGAGUAACACGUGAGUAACCUGCCCCCUUCUUCUGGAUAACCGCAUGAAAGUGUGGCUAAUACGGGAUAUUCUGGGUCUGUCGCAUGAUGGGUCUGGGAAAGAUUGCGCCUUUGGGUGUUUUUGGUGGGGGAUGGGCUCGCGGCCUAUCAGCUUGUUGGUGGGGUGAUGGCCUACCAAGGCGGUGACGGGUAGCCGGCGGGGGGGGGGGGGCGGUCAAACGGGGAAUGAGACACGGCCCCGACUCCUAGGGGGGGCGGGGGGGGGGAAUAUUGCACAGGGGGGGCAAGCCUGAGGGCGCGACGCCGGGGGAGGGGUGGGGGCCUUGGGGUUGUAAACCUUUUUCGCCGGGGAAGCGGGCCUGCUCCUUGGGGGGGGGUUGACGGUAGGUGGAAAAGAAGCGCCGGCUAACUACGU
rnacentral:rRNA from 1 species